AAUUGUUUUGUACCAUUUGACAUGUUUUAAUUUCUUCUUAAAACUUCUACUUCUUUUCUUAGUGAUUUUGUUUUGUGUUUCCAUCAUUGGGUUUUUGGUUUUCUUCUUUCGAGGAACUAAGAUGACAAGUAUAGUUAAAUUCAAACCUGCACUACGGGUUAAACAAAUGCAGGGGACACAGUUGCACACAGCCUGCCUGGGUUUCUGGUGUGGUAUUCAGCAGAGGCUUGCAGAAAGAACUUUCAUGAAUUUGGGAGCAGUCCAGAGCAAAAUGAGGGGAGAAAAAUCCAAUGAAGAACAUGUGCUCCCCAGUGCUCCAAUGUUUUACGUUUCCAAAAGCAAGAGUGUUCAAGCUGCAAUAUAAUAUGAGAAACUGAAAACUUUCUUCUCUGAUCUAGGGAUUAUGGACAAUCAAAUUAUAUAUACCACCUUUUGUCUACAGAGAGCUAUCAAAGGAAGUAUAUUUAGAUUUAAGUUCACAGCUGAAAAGGAAAUAUACCUGAUAUAGCUGGCGUGAGAAUUCCAUCCCCAAUAACCAUGGAGGAGCCAACAAGAACAAGUAAAAGAAGUGCAUUCUUCCUGAAAGAGUGUCCUUCCAACCAUCUCUUUGUCUUUGCAGCAAAUGAUUUUUCAUAAAUUGUAGAACGGCUAUAAGUUGUUAGCUGUUCAUCUGUAUGAUCUUGGUUAGGGAUAGUCUUUACAUUAGCGUGCCGACAAAGUAGUGAAUAAAGUGCAAAUGUUCCACCUGCAACACAAAAUAUAUUAAUUCAAAAGAUGCUUUCACUCCC